UGCACAUGGAGCUUUCAAUUAGUCUC
rnacentral:piRNA from 1 species